GUCUGCUACCUCUUACCCAUGUCUUUUGAGUACCUUCGUUUCCUCGGCGGGUCCGCCCGCCGAUUGGACAACAUUCAAACCCUUUGCAGUUGCAAUCAGCGUCUGAAAAAACAUAAUAGUUACAACUUUCAACAACGGAUCUCUUGGUUCUGGCAUCGAUGAAGAACGCAGCGAAAUGCGAUAAGUAGUGUGAAUUGCAGAAUUCAGUGAAUCAUCGAAUCUUUGAACGCACAUUGCGCCCCUUGGUAUUCCAUGGGGCAUGCCUGUUCGAGCGUCAUUUGUACCUUCAAGCUCUGCUUGGUGUUGGGUGUUUGUCUCGCCUCUGCGUGUAGACUCGCCUUAAAACAAUUGGCAGCCGGCGUAUUGAUUUCGGAGCGCAGUACAUCUCGCGCUUUGCACUCAUAACGACGACGUCCAAAAGUACAUUUUUACACUCUUGACCUCGGAUCAGGUAGGGAUACCCGCUGAACUUAAGCAUAUC
rnacentral:rRNA from 1 species